GUCUAUGGCCAUGCCACCCCAAACGAGCCCGAUCCCUUCUGAUCACGGAAGCUAAGCAGGGUUGGGCCUGGUUAGUACUUGGAUGAGAGAUCGCCUAGGAAGACCAGCUGCUGUAAGCG
rnacentral:rRNA from 1 species